rnacentral:sRNA from 1 species
AAACAAACAAAAAAAAAAGUCACCACAGACUCAUGGGUUUAAACACUUGGCUCACAGAAGUUGGUGCUCUUUGGGGACCUCCCAGAACCUUUGUGAAUAUUGCCUCGUUGGUGGAAAUGAAUCACUGUAGGGCAGGCCUUUGAGGGACAAGGGAUGUAGCUCAACCUGGCUGAUGCUGUUCCCUGCCUGCGAUUUGGUGACCAGACGCCUUACCAUGCAGCCAACGCUGAACAGAACCCGUCCACACCAUGAGUGUGCCUUCCCUGCCACUGGUGCACUAAAACCACAACCAAAAGAGCUCCAUCUUGCCUUCAUUUGCUGCAGUGAAGAAAGUCAUCCAUACUGUGACGGAACUUAAUACAGCUCCAAAUCAGAUGAGCUCUCUUUCUCUGCAUCUAUGUGCCACCCCCACGCUGAGAAGUGACGUGUGUAACUGGACCAGUCCCGAUGUUUGCAAUCACCGGAACAGCCUGCGUGGACACUCCUAUCUUUUAUCAUUUGCAAUUCAAAGCACCACAGCACAGGAAGAAAUGUAGCACUUUCCUGAAUCCUAGGCUUCAUUCUAAUGAACUUAAGUCAAAUGGUGAGAAUCCUAGCUAAAUCAGGCAAAUCAUGGGGAGGUGGGUCUUGUACCCCGAAAGUGAGUGGAUAAAAGACAGCAAGAGCUUCUCCUUUAUGUAAUUAAAAGCACCGCAGCAUAGAAAAAACCGCUCAGGGUCACACAGCUGUUAGGAGGCAGCACCAGACCUGGAACUUGGGUCCACCUGUCAAUCAUCAUCCACGGUCUCCCAGCCCACAGCCGCAGCGCUCCUGGUGAGACCGGACCGGGAAGUAUGUUCUCAUGCCCUGGGUAGAGAGAGGUGAGUCUGGACUUGGAUUGACUCUGGAGCUGUUCGCUGUCUCCUCUCCAGUUCUCUGACCCAGGUUAGAAGUUACAUGACUUCUCUGCAUUUUCCUUCCCUGACUGGAUGUAGGGAUGGUGGGCGCUCACCUCGUGGGAGUUUGGGAGGAUGAGAUGACUGCAUGUUACAGUCACAGUCACACUGAGCACACAGUAGGCACUCGGUAAGUUGCUGGUCUGGUCACCAGAUGCUGCUGCCUUUGGGGCGAGGCACUCUGGUUGUGCGGUUAAGGCCUCCUCGGCUUGUGUAGCUGUAGCACCCUCACCCGCUCUCACCCCAUAAAUCGCUCCGGGGCCUUUCUGCCGUCGAAAGACUGCUUUUUCAUUGGCGCUCUGUUUCCUGGCUUUCCGUCAUCCCUGGUCCCUCCUCCCACAGCUGGAGCCUAUAUUUUUCUGUGGACAUUCUUUAUGAACUUACCAACUUUUCAUACCGCUUUUUUUUUUAUUUUUUUUUAAAAGCAGGCUGUGGUGAGGAACACAACACAUUCGAAUUUAGCUUCAUCAGCUCACUUAAUCUGUUACUGUUUCUGUUUUCUCUCUUCAAGGCAGGGAUCUAGAAGCCCUAAAUGGAACGCUUCAAUUCUUCGAAUCACACUUGUGAUGAGCCCUGUGGUGUGUCUAUUCCCCACAGCCAAGGAAUGAAGGCCGACUGUUUAACUUAAAAACUGCAUUCUAAAAGGCUGCCACUUCUUACUGCACGAAGAAAUACAAGAAUAAUCUGACCAGGAGGUCACUGGGGAAUUGCCAAAUGACAAAUAAAUCAGCAUUGUUUAUUAAAGUGACAAGUUGCCCCAGAGAUGGGGAACCCCCCAAAGCUAUUUUUACUGAUAUAAAUAAUAGUAACAAUGAACUCGAGUAACAAGGGAACUAAUUCUUUAAAGGAAAUGGGUGGACCAGGUGACAUGUAGACACACCUUUAAUUUCAAAGUGAUGAUCUUUGGCAUCUUUAUGUUGUACCUGCAUCCUUUUCUCAAGACAGACAUACAGACCUAUGAGUAGGAAGGGUAUCUCACAGCUCUCUGACUCCAGAAUGGGAAAUUCUAGUUUUGGGGCCUUCAGGCUUCUGGUUGAGAAGCUGACCCUAUUUGGACCCCUACCACGGACUGCCACACAGUACCACCUAGUGACAUCCUGGCAAGGUAACCAGAUCCUUUAGAUCUGGCCAAAGGAGAGAAACAACACACACACACACACACACACACACACACACACACACACACACACAUAUACACACACACACACACACACACACACACACACACACACACACUCACAUGGUUGCAGGAGAUGAAGGCACAAUGAGGAGGCUACAACAAGAAGCCAAUCAAGAGAAGCGAUAUCCUACAGCUUCUCCUUCAUGUCAGGACCCUCAUGAUACUGCCCAUACAAGGCCUGACCCUCGGAGGCUCUGAGGACUUUUUACUUUCACCUAGGGACAUGCUCAUCCAGGAAAGCCACCAACUGCCCCAGUGUGGGGCAAUGGGGGCUUGUGAGAUUCAAGACUUCAGUUUUAAAACUGGACCAGCCCCAAGCAAUCCAGGGCCAGUUGGUGGCUCUUCAUUUAACACUCUGUGUAAAAGUCAAAGACCCUUAUACAGUGUGAUCUCCCCAGCACUUCUUGCGCCACCCCCCCUGCCCCCUUCCUUGCAUGUGGGUAGAUGCAAUGGACAGGAAGGCUCCCAGGCUUUCUAUCACACACCACUCAACUUUCUGGUCAUUUCCAGUGGGGAGAAACUAGAAGUUGCCAGCACCAUGCAUGGGGACCUCAGGGUAAAAUGGGUGAGGGUUUUGGAUUUGGACUUGGCUUCUUCCAUCAGUACCUCUGUUUCUAGCACACCAGCCAUAUCACAGCUAUGAUGUGCUGUCUUCUAUUUGAGGUGACGGAGGAAUGUGAUAAGACUUGCAGUUUCUAGAUUAGGGCUUUGUUUCAACCCACCUUACUGUAAUAAGUAAAAGUAACAUUUAUAUCAGAAACCAGUAAGAGGAGAUUUGUUCAGCGCUUUGCCUGGAGACAGUUUCUUUAAAUGCCAAUGUUUGGGACUCCUUGGUAGUAAUCUGCAGUGAACUAAGAAUGGCUAGAGAUGCCUGGCUAGGAGUGAUCCUGAAGGUAGAAGGAGGGAUGGAAGGAGGGAAGA